ACGUUCAACUCGCAGCAAUUAAGGCUCUGGGGAACCUUGCGUUGAACCAAGAAAAUCAGAAGGAACUCAAGGACGCAAUACCGCUGCUGCUGACGUUUGUGAACAAACAGCAGACGCCAGAGAAAGUGUUGCUCAGCGCUCUACUCACGCUGAGCAAUAUUGCCGUACUGCCAGAUUGGCACGAUGAAUUUUAUCCGAUCCUUCACACGCUGUACAACAUGAUAGAUUCUGGAAGUCCUCAAGUGAAAUUACAAACACUCAAGCUCUUGGUAAAUCUCUCAACAAAUGAAGAUAUGGUUCCCAGUUUGCUUGCGGCCGAGGCUCCUCGGAGAUUGAUAUACUUGUUAGAUCCUUCAACAAAUGAAGAUAUUCUGUUGCGGGUUGUGACGUUAUUAGCAAAUCUUACUAAUAUUGCUAAGGAACUGAAACUAGACCCUUCCAUCGACCUCCCUGCCGAGGAUAAGGCUGCUUCUCCCGACACAAUCAGGUAUGCAGCUAUCUACGGGGUAAAUACUCAGGAGAAAAUGCAGAGCAAAGCCUUCGUCCUUAUGAAUCAGCACAGGAACGAAGACGUUCGGUUUCACGCCCGCAAAAUGUACGAGGCUAUUAAAUCCUGAGAGCGGGUCGAAUGCGCGGACUGCGGUGUGAGCAAGCAGCGCCCUGUUAUUGUAGUGACAAACCACUGACUCGUGGCUGUACUAAAGAGCAAUGUAGGUAGGUCCUAGUCUUUUAUUUUAUUUUAUUUUAAAUUUGGUUGAGGUGCUUUGUUUCAAAGUUGAAUCUAGUCAUUGUUGAUGUUAAGAAUUGAGAUUUUAUCGGUGUUGAGACCUGCAAUACUUUGGCCAGCAUAGUACAGUUCAGGUUCCAGCUCAAUGGCAAUAGAAAGGGUGUGGAGACCGUGUUGUGGUUGGCGGCAAAGAGAAUGAAAUAAAUCUAAUACUCGGAAUGAAAGUAUUGACCUAGCUUGCCUUUGCCUUGCUUGUCAAGUCUUCAUGCUGAUGUCCUUGAAUAUCUGUCAGGUAUUACCUUAUGGGAAUAUAAUACGCUAAGGGCAGAUGUUGUCCGCGUCACGGAACACGGGCCGUUAUUCACUGGCUUCUCAUUGCAGAGGUGGCUAGUGUCAGAUAUUUGCAGGGUUAAUAAUAGUUGCGUACGUUGGAUAAGCAGUUGUCUGCUUAUCGGAUAUGUCACUCUUAUAUCAACUCCUGUCUCUCCUUACGUUGUCUCGUGGUGCUAACAAGCUUGGAUGUGAACUGUAAGUAUUCAUUGUUUCCAGCAAUGUUUGAACAUCACAAUGACAAAUUCAGAAUGAUAUAAAACAGGCCUAUAAAAGAGUACAUUGUACUUAAAUAAUUUUGGACCAGAUGGUGGUAUGCCGGUGAAUAUGUUAAAUUCUGAUAAUGUUUGACGUGUGCGAGAACAUAUACACAUUUACAUGCACAUGCAUGUAUCCGUGAUAAUGAGAUGGAGUCAACGUAAUAAAUCAUCUUCAAGAAACUUGCCACCAUAUUCUGUCAGGGUCAUUAACCCACGCUUAAUGCAGACUAAUAUAUUCGCCCUCGGUCGGAUAGCAACACGCCACGGGAAGACAAAAAUGUCUCUUUCAGGAUGCACACUGAGCACAUAGUUUUAUCUUAUGCUUAUAGAUGAAGUUUGCAGCUAUCUGUUGUGAUCCCUUGGACAUACAUAAAUUAUUGGCAUUCAUUUAUUUAUCAUGUAAUACUGCAAACUGCUAUAGCAUACGGCCAAAAAAAUGGGUAGGGUGAUAUGUAAACCAGCAGCAGAAUACAUGGUAAUAUAUGUUUGCAUUGACAUGUGGCAAACACAGUAAAGAAUGGUAAACCCAGCGUACAGAUAUUUACGAAGACAAUGCAGGCAGGAAGAAGUGACGUACAGUCACUUUACUGCUGCGAAAUUUUAAAUAGUACACAAAUUGGUAAUUUAAGCAUUCAGUGGAAUAUUUUAAACUCUCACAUUGCUUCCUCAAAGUAUGUAUCACUCCAUCCAGAGUUUAAUCCUCCUUAACUUCUAUCACGUCAGUGUUUAAUGUAUGUUGUCUUAUACUAUUAGUGUUUCAGAAUAGAAAUUGAUUAUAGGUGCAAAAUUAUCACAUAGAUAUCUUCUACUAAAACUCUUUUGGUGUUGUAUAGUGACAUUGCUUUCUUCAGUAAAACUGUAGUGCAAGCAAAUAUCCUGCAAAAUAUAUGGAAAACGAAGCUGAAGUACACAGUUCUGUGCUUUUUAAAUUUCCCUUUCAUUUUAAAACUCCAUUUAUUAGCAAUAAUAUCACAAUUCACUUGUUCAUUGUGGAACUAUAUUUUUUAAACUGGGUUUACGUUCAUGUUAAAUAAUUGACGUGCACACCUCUCAUCCAGAACAUAAACAAAUACAUCGGAGUGUGGUUUGAUUCGAGUUCCUUGGUCAUACUGGCUCAUAGGGGCAUUUUGUACCAGCCCUUGAUAAUGAAUUCGUAGCAUAAGUGGAAUGAUCCUCUAUGACAUCAUUACCCAUGAUCCUGUAAUGUGUCGUAAUCUCUUAUGUCCAUCUGUAUGUGUUUUAUUAUUUUACAAUGACUGAACAUAUUUUCAUGAAAUUUGGUAUGUAUUUUAUGCCAUUGGAGGCUACUUCAGACUAAUACUGUCUGUACUAACAUGAUAGACACUUGAACUUAUGAGGUGGGAUGAUUGUCCUCUGUGUCGAUGUCAUUACUCAUCAUGCUGUUAUCUGCCAGUGGCUGUGUAAACUAUUCAUGGUGCCAUCUGUCAGUGACAGUGUGAACUUUUUGAUAUCACACCCAUACGAUGUGGCAAAGAGAACACCCUUAGAACUUUUGCGUACCCUUCAGAGUGCGUCUUUCAAGUCUCGUCUGUAAUCUGAAGUUCUGUGUCAGAAUUCCGGGGCAACUUGAAGUGUCAUUUUUGUUAAAACUAGUUCCUGUAGAAUAAGUUAUGAGGCUCACGAUUUUAUGUUGUUAUUCUAAUUAUUCAUAUGACAUCUAGAUGAAUCAGUAUUUUUGUAACACUGUAUUCACUUUAACCGUAAAGAAAUAAAGUACAGUUUCUUAUAACUUGAUAUUUAAAAUUGCUUUCACUAUAUGCACUUAAUUACAAAUGUGUGUUUACUAGACCAGCUUCAUUUAAUGGUUUCAUCACAUAACAUUCAUCUACAACUGAUUGACUUCAUUUCAUUGCGCAAAGUAAUCCUCUCACUACAGCGCCAGACUUUCAGCAUUAAAAUUACUAUUCAUGCACUGAUGAUUAUAAUCAAAUGUCUUUGAUAUGUAACUCAGUCCUUGUGAAACUGCAUUCCAUCAUGUAAAGUGAUGAAAAUAGUCACCCCUGGCAUCCACGCAUGCGAAACUGAAGAUGGCGCUGCAAAUUGGUGUGUACACAUUAUAACAUGUCCGUAGGAAUGUAAUGUUCUGGCUUAUACGUGUUUGUCAGAAAUGUCAUCCUUUGUAUGUAAAUAUCACAUUAAACAAUCAAAUUUGUGUCGAUCAUUGCAGUUAAAUGUAAUUCAUUUGAUGCAGUUAAUGCAGAGUAUAUAUAUGUUGUUAAUUCCAUAUUCCAAAUGAUCUCAGGCACUGUUUAUUUAUAUUAUAUUUCAAUUUACAUUGUACAAAAUAAUAAUUUUAUUGCAUAAAUGAUUACUGAAAUAAAAUCCGAGUUAAUAGAUGAUGUGAUGAAGGUAAUUUUCAUUUCGCCAAUAAUAGCUGUGUAUGUGUGAUCUGAUAUUGCCAUGUCUAUAAAACCUGAACUAAUGUCCAACACAAACCAACAUAUUCAAAGUAAUUUCAUUUUCUUAAUGUUCUGAAAUGUUUGCUAUGUAUAAAUGGACAUUCCUUUAUCAGUAUUUGUGAUAGCAGAAUAUUCAUGAUUUGUAUAAUUGAUUUUUUGUCAACAUUAGCACAUGCUUUCAUGUGUCAUACAGUACCUAAAGCUGAUUCCAUUCAUGUUUAUAUAUGUUAUUUGACUUCAGAAUGUUAAAUUAAAGCACAUUUUCUCAUGACCUACAUUCCAGUGUGUUAUAUUCUACCAAGUGUGCUUGGCUGAGAACUGUGUUAUGAGUAUUCAUACUGUUGCUGAAUGUCUUUUGACAGCUCAUCAUACAUUUAUAAACUGUGUGUUACAAAAAUAAAUGUACACAUUUGAUAAUUAUUGCAGCUAUUUUAUGGACUCUCAUAUCGUAAAGGUUUUGAGAAAUUAAUCUCAUGUGAUUAAAUAUUAUAGGUUAUAUUGUGCAUUGCCAGAUGUAGUUUGAAUAUAAAACGAAUAUUGUCCAUUGAAAGUAAUUUAUUCAUAACAUCGUAUUGAUUUAAUUUUGUAUCAACUUUAAAAAACUGUUGAUAUCAUGAAACCCACUGCAGAACAUCAUAUUGCAAUAAUAAAGGAAGUUGGUAUAUCCCAUUUUAGCAUGGACAGGCCUGAUUUAAAGAUCUUUAUUGCGUUCUAUUUGUAAAAUUAUGCAAGUUAGACUCAGAAUUGCAACAUAAAGCAAAGUAUCUUUGGCAUCUUAUGGUUGUUUUAGAACUGGUAACCUAACCUAACAUUUCAGUAAUUUAGUGCAACUGGCAGGAAUGAAAAUUUGAUUUCGGUUAGCCUCAUUGUGUUCCAAAACAUAUUUUGUGAAAUGUAACUUUGUAUUUACAGUGAUGUAGUUUUCAUUAUUGAUUUUAAUGGAUUGAAAGUUUUUCCAUAAUCUAUUUACUGCAAUAAUUUCAGAUUCCUUUUUUUAUUUUUGAUGGGGACCAUGAUGAAUAUAUGUAUACAGCAAGAACACUGCAAAGACUCACGUAAUAGUUAUUAUGGGAUAAUUUCUGUUCAUGAAUAAUGUUCAUUGAUCCGUUCCUGAACAUUAUUUUAUAUGAAUGUUUAAUUUUACUUGUGUUCGUGAUUAUUUCCAUCACAACAGUUAUUAAAUACAGUGAAUUCUCAGUGAUUUCCAUCAAAGAGAGUCUAUCCAUCAAAAGUGCUAAUGAACUUGAUGGUCCUUUAUAUGUUUGGAACUGAAGUACCUGAAAAGGUGCACAUUUUCUGAUUAUCGCUUUCAGAGCUAGACCAGAGCAUGCUAAGUAUACUACACUUUAAACCUGAUUGGAUUUAUCCACUCACUUUUAUUAUGUACGUGUUACUUUCAUACCAAAUAGAGAAAUUACUUGUUACAACAUAGAAAUGCCUAAGUGUAAUGCUGCAUUGUAGACACUUACAUAAACUUGGUGCCAAUUAGAUAUAGUUGACCCGGCUGAGAUAUGUGAACUGUUCUUAAAAUAUUACACUAUGCUGGCUUAUUAAAUGUACUGUGGAAAAACUGUAUGUGUCAUUUAAUGUCAGAUUAAUUCAAAUCUGAAUAAUGCUCAGAAUACUGAGCAGUCACUAAAUAUAUCUUAAUGGAUUAAACAGUAAUGAUGUAGCUAAACUCCAAAAACUUAUUAAUUUUUUAGGUGCUCGACAAUUAGUUAUUAUGGAAUCUUAUUUUAUUUGUAUAUAUCAUAAAACAGAUACAUUUCUUUUAUUAAUGCAAACUAAAAUAUUCCCUGAAUCAUGUAUACAGUGAGUUUUCUCUGAUAAUUUUUGCCGUAACAUAUUAACAUGCCUAAGCAUAGUUAUCCAUAAGUGAUUACUGGAUAGGCCUUGUCCGUCUGUCAGCUUGUCUCCAUGUUCAAAUAAUAAGACGCAUACCUUUACCAUUAGCACUGACUGCAACAUGCUUACAGUGUGCAACUUUCAACUCAUAAACCUGUUCCUACAAAGGAUAAGUUAGCUGACAUUCCUGAGGUGUCAUCAUAUUUAAUGACAAAAUCCAAUAUAUGAAAUCAGCAUAUAAAUAAUACCACCACUUUGGAAGGGCUAAACUUAAGUGUCUCAUCUUGAGGAAUUUUGUAAAGCUCUGAAAAUAAAAAUACGCAAUACAGUCCAGCUUCUUGAAAAUGAAGACCUUAUUAAUUAUCUUUAAACAUUUAAUUUUAAUUUCUCAUCAGUUGGUUAAUGUGCUGUCACAGGAAAAAGAAAAAUUACCAAAGUCCUCAGACACCUCAUUAAAUAAGCAUCUCGCAUCAUUAACUGAUUUCCUAUUCCACCCCUGAAGAAAAAUAUACUUACAGUAUCUGUAUGUCUAUAUUUGUAAAGAUGAUGCAAAUAUCAUAAUAUUUACAAAAAGUUCUCCUCAAAAUGAAAUGCAACACACUGUUAAACUCUGCUUUUUUUGAGUUUUUACGAAUGUGUAUUCAUUAUAAGAAUUUUGGCAUUGUGGAUAAAUUUUCUGCGAGAUAUGCCACUGCCUAAUGAACAAACCCACAUAAUUUACGUAAUUCUACAUUAAGAAACAAUGUUAAUGUUCUUGUAUUUAUAGAUUUGUAUGUGUUUAUUUUGAACGUGAUUGGGAAACUGUAUGUAUUAUUUCAUGUUUGUAUAUAUUAAAGUUUGAUAUCAUGUGAUAUCACUUUGCUUAUCAUGCAAUAUAGAAUUUAUCUUGAAAUUUAA